CGCCAGAAUACUACGAGCAACAGCUUAAAACUCAAAGGACUUGGCGGUGCUCUACACCCCCCUAGAGGAGCCUGUUCUGUAAUCGACAAUCCCCGAUAAACCUCACCAUCUAUUGCUAGUACAGCCUAUAUACCACCGUCCAGCCCACCCUUUAAAGGAAAAAUAGUAGGCACAACUACACACAUAAAAACGUCAGGUCAAGGUGUAGCAUAUAAGAUGGGAAGAAAUGGGCUACAUUUUCUAACCUAGAAAACACGGAAAAGUUUAUGAAAUAAAACUAUAAAGGAGGAUUUAGUAGUAAAAAGAAAAAAGAGUGUUCUUUUUAAACCGGCAAUGGAGCGCGCACACACCGCCCGUCACCCU
rnacentral:rRNA from 1 species